GAUGAACGCUGGCGGCGUGCCUAAUACAUGCAAGUCGAGCGAACAGACGAGGAGCUUGCUCCUCUGACGUUAGCGGCGGACGGGUGAGUAACACGUGGAUAACCUACCUAUAAGACUGGGAUAACUUCGGGAAACCGGAGCUAAUACCGGAUAAUAUAUUGAACCGCAUGGUUCAAUAGUGAAAGACGGUUUUGCUGUCACUUAUAGAUGGAUCCGCGCCGCAUUAGCUAGUUGGUAAGGUAACGGCUUACCAAGGCAACGAUGCGUAGCCGACCUGAGAGGGUGAUCGGCCACACGGGAACUGAGCCACGGUCCAGACUCCUACGGGAGGCAGCAGUAGGGAAUCUUCCGCAAUGGGCGAAAGCCUGACGGAGCAACGCCGCGUGAGUGAUGAAGGUCUUCGGAUCGUAAAACUCUUUUAUUAGGGAAGAACAAAUGUGUAAGUAACUGUGCACAUCUUGACGGUACCUAAUCAGAAAGCCACGGCUAACUACGUG
rnacentral:rRNA from 1 species